GAACCCAGCAGCUUGUAAUGUGGCAAAACACUGCUGUCACCUCCCACGUGAACAGGCCUACUGAUGACCUUGGGGACCUAGAGCAAGGGCCCCAGCCCCCAACACAGGGCGCCGGGCAGCAGGCAGAAGACAAACACAGGCGUGGGAAGGCUUUGCUGAGGUCUGUUUGCACCCAGCUCCGCUUGGCAGCUGGGGAGCACCUUGCCAUUCAUUGGCACUGAGGAAAGGCCAGCCUUCCUUUUCCCUCGUAACACCUUCCAGCCAUCCAGGUGAUUACCUUACCUGCCUACCGUCUAGACUCAGUGUUUUCCCUGGCGUCCAUGUUGCAGGGGGCAAGGUCACCUCGGAAGGGACUUCCAGGACAGAUGGGAGCCAUGCCAACAAGAAAGAAAAUACAAAUCACGUGUAAGCAAGAUUCUGGAGCAAUUUUGCCAAGUGGGGUCUGGAGCCAGAACUGCAGAAGGCCAGCUUUCUCCUCCCUCACCGCAGUGACCCUGACCUCUCAGCUUCAGUUCUCUCACCUAGAAAAGUGGGAUUAACUGCUGGACCAUCUCCAAAUCUCCUUCUGGCUCUAAAAUUUUGUGAGUUUAGCUUCAGGAAGGGACGUUAAUACAACACUUCAAAGCUAUUAUUAGACAUUAAAAGAAAUUUAAUUUUGGAAACUGAUUUCUUAACUGGGUGCCAGAAAUGGUAUCAUUGUGUUCUCUGCAAAAUUGUUGAAAUGGCAAGUAUGUGCAUCCCAAAGGGAAAUCCCUACUAUGAUAUUGUAGCAGAUGCUCAGUGUUCAGAUUCCAUGUUUGCCAAAGAAGCCAUGCCUUUUCACAGCCUGAAGAAGGCAUAGGAGUGGACUCACAGGGGAGAGACAGUGGCAGCGGACCACGGAGUUGCUACUCAAUCUUUAGCUACGUAAGUGAUAGGCUUGUAUGUUAAGGCAUAGGACAGAGCAUUCAUUCUGCCAAGAAAUCAACAGUGUAUUUUCCCCCUUACAAAGGUUUGUGUGACUUGUGGGUGCAAGCAAGAAACAUGAACAAGGAGACGGACACCAGUAAUGACCCUCAGACUUCUCUUUCUGGUAGGGGCCAUGUGAUCACACAGAUGAAUUCAAGCUAUAGUUGCUAAAAAUAGUCACAAAGGCUGGGACACAGCGGUCCAUGGCUGUAAUCCCAGGCGCUCAGAAGGCUGAGGCAGGAGGGAAGCUAAAAGCAGGAAAAUCACAAGGACCAGGCCAACCUGGGCCACUUAACCUUAUCUUGUUAAAAUAAAUAAUUAAAUAAAAAGGGCUGGGGUGCAGCUCAGUGGUAAAGUGCCUCUAGGUUCAAUCUCUAGUACCGCUAUACAAGGAAAUAAUAAAAAUUAAAAAAUAACCACAAGGAUUUUCAGCUAAAGCUCAACACAAAGAAAAAAAAUAUCAAGAAGAAAAUGGUCAUUUUUAUGGAAAAGACCAUUUUUCCUAUGUUAGUCAAAUUGUAAUUGCUCUAGAAUAUGUAGACUUUUAGUAGAUGGCAAAACAUGUCAGAGUCUCAUGGACUUGUAAUAUUGUAUCUCAGAAGAUAUCAUGUACCCUUACAAAUCAAAACCUGAUUCAGUUAAUUUUAAAUGCAUUAUUUUGAAAAAUAAUUUCAGUUGAAAUUAGAUUUCAGCAAUGUUUUUGGUAAUCAUCUGAAGAAGAAUAUUACGUAUCUUCUAACAUUGGUAGCAUCUCUACUGUUAAUACACAGCUAUAUAAAAAUUAGUUAUCUAAUUUACUAGAAACAGAUAUAAUUUCCUAGUGCUUUGAAGGAUUAGAGGGAGAUAUGCACAAAUGGGCUUCCAUCUUUGAAACACACACACACACACACACACACAGAUCCAAUUGUAAGAAUUCAUCAUUUUUUACUUCAGAGUGCUCAUUAUAUUCAACUCACUCAAAAUAAGAGAGAGAACAAAUUAAACUAUAAGCUAGGAUAGCUAUUUCAUCUAUCAUUUUCACUAAUAUAAAAAGGGCUGAUCACUAUUCAUACUGCUGGUAGAACUAUAAAAUGUUAACCUCUGUUGAGGGCAAUUUGACAGAAUCAAUCAAAAUGACGAACGUACUCACUUUCAGUGGCAGCAUUCCAUUCCUAGGAUCUUUUCCCUAGAUAUAUACAAAAUAAUGUAAUACAAAGCUAUUCACUACAUCAUUGUUUGUCCUGGCAAAAACUGGGAACAGCUAAAUGUCUAUCAGUAAGGGACUAGUUACAAUUCACUGAGCAGUAAUCAGUGCGGUCUUACCAAAAAAAAAGAGGAUGCUCUUAUCCUAUUGAUAUGUGCUGAAUUCCAACAUGUAUUUAAAUAACAUAUGCAAAACAACAUGUAUGUUUAGCCACACUGCAAAGAAAGGGGAAAAGUAUAUAUAAACAUCCAUACAUGUAUACCAUGCAUGUACAUAUGUGUAUACAAAAGUACAAAUAUAUGCACAUACAAGACCCUAACAAUACAGAUUCUGAGAAAGGAAACAAGAUGUCUGAGAAUAAUAGAAAGAAGACUCCACUACAUACCUUUUAGAAUUUUUUUGAAUUUCAAGCCCUGCAAACAUGUUACUUAUUAAAAAAUAAAUUAAUAUAGACCAACAAAUGUGACUAAUAAAUUGUGCACUGGUAAGCAGAAAAUUCAUUCUCAUAUAUAUUACCUUUUAACAAGAACUUAAAGGACUGUAUUUUUUAAAUCCCAAAACAUGUAGGCCGAGAUUUUUUUUUUCAAGUCAUAUGAUUAGGGCUAUGAAGAAUCAAAGUGAGCCUCUCUUCCUCUUUCCCAAUCUCUUGGAGUUCUUAUAAAAUAAUAAAUUAAAUAUAACAGUUUGGAGGAAAACCAAUUAAAGUCACACAAAUCAUCAUUAACCCCUUCCCCAGAUGAAUGACAAAGAGACACAUGUCUAAUUAACACAGAGUCACAUUGUGUAAAGAUCAGUUAGCAAAGGAAAGGAACAGAUGGCAAACCAGAAAACUUGAUCUGACACUGAAAACUUCAGGCAGCCGAAGGAAACUGUACCUGAAUGGAAAUGGCUCUAGGAGUGAGGACCAACUCGCCCAGGCAACUCCCUCCAGCUUUCAGGAGCAGCGGGUCUUGCAAUGUUGUCCCCACAAGGCAAAGCCAUCCCAAAGCCAUCCCGCUUUCUACAUAUGCAAACAUGCAAACAUACUCACACCCACCAACCAACCUCCCUUGGACCACAGAAAGAUUUCCUAUCCCCAGGCAACGAAUGGCUCAGUUAUUUCAAACCAAUCUAGCAUUUCAGUUCAACAAAAGGCACUGGACAUCAUCUUGGAGUCUGAUGUAAGAAAAGCUGACCUGCAAGUUCAUGCUUUAACAACCAUGUCUUUUUCUUCCUCUGAAAGAGAUUUAGAACAGGAGCCAGAGAAAGGGAUAAAGAUCACCGAGUGGAUGAAACCCUCCUAUGAUCCACAGAGCAGGUACUGAGAGGGUCCUGCUUCCGGCACCCCCAGGCUCAAAAUCAAACUAGAGAAAGCCGUGGCAGGCUCAGGGCCACUCCCUCUGUCUUCAAGUUCAUCCCUCCCUCAGGCAUCCUCUGUGGAAACAAGGAAGCCACAAGCCAUGACAGUUCCACUGGCCAGACCCUCAGCAAGGAACCAGCAACUGACUCCACAUGUUGGCGACUUCAGCAUGGCUGGUCGAUACUCCUUCUCCCUGUCCCCACUGACCCAAGCUGGGCAGGCAGCACAUUUCAGACAGGAUGCCUCCCAAGAGUCAUGAUGCAACCCUGAAAAAAACAGUCUGUUCAAGAUCCAAAACCAGAUCUGGUUUCUGCCAAUUCAGAUCAGAGGCGAAGGCACCUGCCAUUAGAGAAGGCAUGUUGAAUUUACACGUAUUUAACAUCAGCACACACUUCACACGCUCUUGUUUUGUUUUUUGUUUUUUGUUUUACAUACAUAAAGUGUGUUAAAGGUACAUUCUGUAGUGAAUCGGAUCAAAAAACCUUAGGGUAAACAUCAGAUACAGUUUUUGCUUUUUAUAUGAAAAGCAGCGAAGAGCAAGUUUUUGUUUGUUUGAUUUUUUUGGACUCAGAAAAUUAACUACUCAGAGCCAAAAAGUAAAAUAAAAUAAAAGGCAGAAGAGGGCCAAUCAGAUUAUCUUUAGCUUUUUAGAUUCUUUUUUUGUUUUUUAGGUUUUAUAAGUAUAAAUGAUUAGUACAAUCAUAAUUAUUGGAUUUGAAUGCACACUUUAAUUCAUAAUACUGUGUGUAUGUGUGUUUUAUGUGUGUUCACACACAGCAGAUUUAUGUAUAUAUUUUAUACAAAGCUGACAGUUUCCACUAAAUUAGUCGAGGUACUGGGAUUCAAACUUAAUUCCUUUCUCUAUUCGAGACAGCAGGCUCCUCUGGAUGGAGAAUAUUUUUAAAUAUAAAAACUAAUUAUCCUAUCUCACUGCCUAUAAAUUCAAUUUCUAUUUCUAAGGCUGCUUCUGUUGUGCAUCUCUCGGUAGGCUCUUUGCAUCAUGGCUUGUUUAUAACCUCAUCUAAAAGCACAAGAAAAAACUGGAAUCAAAUAAAAUAAGCUUCCCAACCUUUUAGGAGGUUUUGGAAGCACAGCAACAUUUCCAUAAUGAUAUAUGCUAUAUAUAAAAAAUCAAGUCCGCUUGUUUUAAAAGGUAGUUCUUAAGUUGCAAAUUUUAUAUGGAAAAAAAUGUAGGAAGUAUAAGGUGCACGGACAGGUGAAGAGUGAGCUAAUGCCAGAGUCAGAAAGCUUUCUCUUGGUUAGACUUUCCAGCAAAACCAAUUACCCCAUGCACAUGAAAUUGCAUCAUGCAAACAUUUUCAGAUCAAAGUCUAGCCUCUGCCUGGUGUCAGCCUACUGAGAACUUCCAAGGCCAUUCUGGAAGGAGUCUGAGAGUAGGGGUUUGAAAUGCACUGCAACCGUUAGUUCCUCCCUUCUAAACUCUGCUGACUCCUUUCAAAGAGAGUCCUUCACAAAUGUUUCAAGGAAAGCCAAUUAGCAACCACAAUUUAUGCUUACCAGAUGGGGUGGUGAAGGUCAAAGGCAAACCAAAGUAAACUGACCAUGAUAAAUACUUGCAAACCAUACAUCUGAGAAGAGGCUAAUAUCCAAAAUAUAUAAGGAAUCCAAACAACCCAAUAGCAAGACAACAAAUAACCCAAUUAAAAAAUAGGCAACGGAUCUGAACAGAUGUUUUCCAAAAGAAGAGAUAUGAAUGGCCAACAGACAUGUGAAAAAAUGUUCAACAUCUCAGGGAAACGCAAAUUAAAACCAUAAUGAGACAUCACUUCACACAUUAGGAUGGCUAUUAUUUAAAAAAAAGAUGAACAAUAACAAGUAUUGGCAUGGAUUUAGUGAAAAUGAAACUUUUGUACACUGUUGGUAGAAAUAUAAACUAGUACAGUCCAUUCUGAAAAAUAACACGGAGGUUCCUCAAAAAUGUAAAAGAGAAUUACCACAUGACCCAGCAAUCCCACUUUGGGGCAUUUAUCCCAAGAAAUUGAAAUUCAUAUGUCAAAGAGAUAUCUGUGCUUUCAUGUUUAAUUCAGCCAAUAACUGAGAUAUGGAAGCAACCUAAGUGUAUAGGGGCAAAUGGAAAAUAAAAUGUGAUAUAUACUGUGACAUAUAUAUACAAUGGAAUACUUGCUACACAACUUUGGAAAUAGGGAAAUUUUGUCAUUCAUUGUCAUUUGUCAACAUGGAUGGAACUAAAAGAUAUGAUGGCAAGUGAAAUAAGCCAGACAUAGAAAGACAAAUGUUACAUAAUUUCACAUGUAUGUGUGAGGUGACCUCAUAGAAACAGAGACUAGAAAGGUGAUUACCAGAGGCAGUGGGGAUGGAGGAUGGAUAGGCAACAGGAAGAUUUGAUCAAAGGGAACUAAAUCUCAGAAUAGAGGAGUAAGUUUAGUAACCUAUUAUUCUGCACGGUGACCACAGUUAUAAUAAUGCACAUUUCAAAAUUACAGAAAGGAUAGAUUUUUAGUAUUCUCAUUGCCAAAAAAAAAAAAAAAAGUUGGUGAAGUGAUGGAUAUUUUAAUUAGCUUGAUCCAAUUUUCUAUAAUGUAGAGUGAUCAAAAAAAAUCAC